UAUAAACCACAACUUCCUGAUUCCCCCAGAAAGCAGAGCCAAAUGAAACAAUCAGGGCCAACUAAUACCUCCCAACAAAGGAUUCCCCCAGGCAGGAAGCUGCAAGGCUUUUCAUUGCUAAUCAAGGUGAUUAAUUGCAACAUUCGCACUUGCCUCCAACAGACAAGACCUUCCAUAGAUAUAUAAACCCUACUUGCCUAGUUUCCAAUACACCUCACAACCCCUGAGGAUGGCUGACAUAGAUGUGGGCAAAACAUCAGGAGAGAAUGCAUCUGGAAAAUGGCCAUACAGCCCAGAAACUCACAGCAACCCAGUGAUUCCGGCCACAAAAGCCUUUGACAAUACAGAGCCAAUUGUGCUACUAGCUGGAGGAUUCUGGAAAUUGUAAAACUGCAACUCCCAUGACCCCAUAGUAUUGAGCCAUGGCAGUCCAAAUGGUGUCAAACUGUAUUCAUUCUACAAGAGAAAUGAACCCAAGGAUAUACAGUUAAGAAAUGGUUAUUGAGCCAAACAAAUUCCAUCUUGAGUAAACAUAUAUUGGAAUAAAUGUGCUAUAAACAGGAUCUUUUAAUUGCCCACGAAGAAAUGAAUAAAUAUGGGAGGAGUAGUGACUAUCUUAAAGGAAUAUAAAGAAGUAUGAAAGAGGAGGCCUGAACUGUCCUGCUCAGUGAUAACCGGUUUUCAGUGCUAUGAAUCACUCCUAAAACAUGAGAAAUUGUGAACAACGGUUUUGAAAAUGUUCAGCAUAAAUAUCUCAUAAGAAUGGCCAAAGCAAGCAGAGGAUCCCAACCUACAAGUAGUCUAUAGCCUGGAAUGCUGCAUUAAAGAUGAAGUGUUGCAAGUGGAGGCUGUGAAACUUCUCAUUUAAACUAAGGAAAAUAAAAGAAAGAGAAUUUCUAUUCAUCACAAUGACCCUGUGGAAAAUAAUGAUAACUGCCUUAUGCAUAGGACUUGGGUAUGAAGAAAAUUAUAGAGGAUAGAGACUGAUAUGGGAAGUCCAGCUUUGAAGCUAAUGAAAGUGGGGAGCCUGUAACACUCCAGAUAUUGCUAGUCUCCAUCUCCCACCCACCAUCAUCACUGGCCAUACUGGCUGUGGCUAAUGGAAACUGAAGUCCAACAACAUCCAGAGGAGUACAUAUUAUGGACCUCACCCAAUUGGUUUGUAGCUUUUUGAAUCUAAGUUGUUGGACAGUUUACUGCAGGGUUUUCCAAACUGUGUAUUGCAACAUGUUAGUGUGUUAUCUGCAGUGUGUAGGCGUGUCAUGCGAACGUAACAAGAAAUGACAAACAUCUUGGAAAUGUAUGUUUUUAAAACACAUAACUGAAAUGCUUACAUGAGAUAUGUUGUGACCAUAUAUAUUUUGAUCUUACAAUGUAUGUAUGUGUCGGUAUCUCUUACAUGGGGUUGAUUCAACCUUCAAUUUGAUAGUAAAAAUGAAUAACUGUGUCACGAACUGAUGCAUGUCUCAAAUGUUUGAAAAGCUCUAGUGAGUUCCUGUAUACACAUAUAGUAAGAAUGUCCUGCCAAAUUUAAUGGCAUUUAUUUUUGACAUAAGUUUCAGCUGCAUGCAUCCUUUACCAGAAUAUACAUGUUAUGCAUGCACAUGGGUAUACUGUGCUGCUUGUGGCAUCUGUUGCUACUGACUCUUCAUUCAAGUAUAGAAAAGUUUAUUUAGCGCCUUUAAGUCUAAUAUGAAAGGUCUCCCACAAAUUACAGUAAUCAAUGCCUUUUUUAUGCUGACCUUUAUGCAAGGAACUGUCAACAGCAAUAACAAGUUUCUUGAUAAUUUACUAUUCUUUGGAAAUGUUUGCUGGACAGAUUGCAGAAAUCUGAGUAAAGUAACUCAUAUAUGAAUCAGCUAAGGCCAAAAUCAUACGUGUUUAGAUAACAGCAAACUACAUAAAAUUGAAGGGGACUGACGUGUAAGAGUGGACUAGCCAGUUACAAAAUAUUUCUUCUAUAAGAGAGUCAUUUGGCUGAAUAUCUCAUUCAGCAUACAGAGCCUGAGAUUAUGAUUCCUCUAUAGUCAAUUUUUUUAAAUAACCAGUACCCCUAUUCCUGUGAUCCUGUUCAUGAUCACCUAAAAUGAAAUAAUGAGCUCUUGCUACACUUGCUUUCCUACUCAAAAUCAAAGUGAUUGAAGAACAGGAAACAAGUUUAAUUUUCUUUGCAUUUUCCGUAAACACUGACAGGAGUGGUGUUUGUUAACACUGCAUAAUAAAGAAGAAAAUAGUGAAUGUCAUGUGUGGUGUUACAUUCAAAGUUUUUGGUCCACGGGCAUAUUAUAAUGUUGUUUAUUAAAGGCAAGGUUUUCAGGGAUCUCAGCCCGUUUCCCCAGAAAAUGAUUUUUUUUACCAUGAUAUUUCCCUAUGUUAGCUUGCCUAGUUUUUAGAGUUUUGGUGAGGACACAAGAGAGAGGAGAGGGAUUUCUCAGUGGCUGCUCCCAAAUUAUAGAUCUCGCAUGUCUUUCUGCCAGCAGACUAAAUCUUUUUAUUCAGAAAGGUUUUUGGCAACUCACUGGCUACAGAAAAAGGUCUUUUAAGGUUUUUUUUUCUCUCUGAUGUAUUUUAAAAUUGUUUUUAAUAUUGUUCUCUUCAUACAAGUGUUGAAAACUUGGCUUUUCAAACAAGCCUUUGAUAAUGGCUAGGAUAACUACUAACCAGAUGACCAAACAAUAUUGAUACCGACUAUGGCACUCUGAUGCUUUUAUCUUGCAUUGUGGCUGGGAGGUUAUACCUGAUCGUAUUGCCCAUUUUGAAUUAGCAGCUAUUGCUGUGUUCUAUUGAGUGUUUUAUUUAAUUUGAGUGAAGUUGUUGUAAUUUUUGCAAGUGUUAUUUAUGUUCAUUUACACUGUAAUUGUUGUUAUUAUGGAUAUUUAUGUAUUUAUGUGUUAUGGCACGAUAUGUAAACUGCCCGAGUCCCUUUUUGGGAGAUGAUGGCGGGUUAUAAAGUUUUAUUUAUAUUAUUAUUAUAUUUAUAUAUAAUACAUUUACUUAGCUGUGAUUUAAUGUUAUAAAUCAAUUUAAUUUUUGGUUGUGUCUAUUUGCUAUUUAGACUAUGAACUGCCUUGAAUCUCAGGUCCAUAUGCACUCAGAAUUAUAACACUAUUAUUCCACUUUAGUUGCCAUGGUUCCUGAGAUUGAUAGUUUGUGGAGGCGCAUUUACAAUUCAGAGCCAGAAUACUCCAGUGUUUAUCAAAUUACAAACUCUGAGAUUCCAUAACUAUGGGAAUUAAAUUGAUAUUAUAGUACUGGAAUUCUGUAGUACAAAUGGGCCAGUCUUGGAAGAAAGGUAGAGCAUACAUAAAAUAAGGAAACAUUGUUGUGACCCAACACUAUGGUUGUAAUCUCAAGGCCCUUCCACAGAGCCCUAUAUCCCAGAAUAUCAAGGCAGAAAAUCCCACAAUAUCUCCUUUGAACUAUGUAAUCUCAGUUCACACUGCCAUAAAUUCCAGUUCAAAGCAGAAAAUGUGGGAUUUUAUUCAGCUGUGUGAAAGGGGCCCCAAUUGCCUUCUGAUCUUGUGGCUGUUUACAACAUUUAAAAAAAAACUAGGACACUCUGUUCAUCACAGAUCUUCUAUUUGGCCCUGGGAUUAUCACUUCAUGCAACGGAACUGUAUUCUGCCUACAGAGACAGAGACCACAAUAAAUCUUUGAGUCUUUAA